rnacentral:rRNA from 1 species
UACAGAGGUCUCAAGCGUUUGUUCGGAUUCAUUGGGCGUAAAGGGUGCGUAGGCGGCGCGGUAAGUCGGGUGUGAAAUCUCGGAGCUUAACUCCGAAACUGCAUUCGAUACUGCCGUGCUUGAGGACUGGAGAGGAGACUGGAAUUUACGGUGUAGCGGUGAAAUGCGUAGAUAUCGUAAGGAAGACCAGUGGCGAAGGCGGGUCUCUGGACAGUUCCUGACGCUGAGGCACGAAGGUCCAGGGGAGCAAACGGG